GGAGAGAUGGCUGAGUGGUCGAAAGCACUUCGUUGGAAGCGAAGCAUAUGGCAACGUAUCGAGGGUUCGAAUCCCUCUCUCUCCGCCA
rnacentral:tRNA from 1 species